GUUUUCCUUUGAAAGGAAAGAAAAACCUAUACUAAAAUUGGAACGAUACAGAGAAGAUUAGCAUGGCCCUUUCAAGCCUAUAUCUUGUCUACUUAGGUAAAGAAAUUAGUC
rnacentral:snRNA from 1 species